AUCACCAUCAUCACCAUAAUCACCAUCGUCACCACCAUCAUCUCCAUCACCACCAUCAUCACCACCAUCAUUUCCAUCACAAUGAUCACCAUCAUCAUAAUCACAAAAGAGGAGAAGAUCCAAGAAAGGCUGAAGAAGCCUGCUGUCCACAUCUUUCCCUUUUGUCAGGGGGCCGGGAAAAGGGACAUCCUCACACAGAGCCCUGGUUCUCACACUUCAGGUGCUCCAGAAUCUUGCGGGGAGCAUGUCACACACACUCCUGGGCCCAGUGGUGGAGCUUCUGGUUCCACAAAACCUCAGCGUCAUCCACUGGCAGCCGAGAGAACUGCAGGCUCAGACAGAGGAGGAACAGACAACCCCCAAGGAGCUGGCCUGGGGCUUUUCAAACCUAGGAAGUGACAGCAAAUGUCACACGAAUAGAUGCAACACAAGAUCUACUCGCCCAGGAAGAGGCCGUCUGAGCCGCACGGUCUUUCAAAGCAACGUCGGCAACCUUCUGUGUUUUA